UGGGGAAUUUUGGACAAUGGGGGAAACCCUGAUCCAGCCAUCCCGCGUGUGCGAUGAAGGCCUUCGGGUUGUAAAGCACUUUUGGCAGGAAAGAAACGUCAUGGGUUAAUACCCCGUGAAACUGACGGUACCUGCAGAAUAAGCACCGGCUAACUACGUGCCAGCAGCCGCGGUAAUACGGAGGGUGCAAGCGUUAAUCGGAAUUACUGGGCGUGAAGCGUGCGCAGGCGGUUCGGAAAGGAAGAUGUGAAACCCCAGAGAUCAACGAUGGAACUACAUUUGUAAAUACCGGGCUAGAGGGUGUGAGAGGGGGGUGGAAUUCCGCGUGUAGCAGUGAAAUGCGUAGAUAUGCGGAGGACCACCGGUGGCGAAGGCAGCCUCCUGGGAUAACACUGACGCUCAUGCACGAAAGCGUGGGGAGCAAACAGG
rnacentral:rRNA from 1 species